rnacentral:rRNA from 1 species
AGUGAACGCUGGCGGUAGGCCUAACACAUGCAAGUCGAACGGCAGCACAGUAAGAGCUUGCUCUUACGGGUGGCGAGUGGCGGACGGGUGAGGAAUACAUCGGAAUCUACUUUUUCGUGGGGGAUAACGUAGGGAAACUUACGCUAAUACCGCAUACGACCUACGGGUGAAAGCAGGGGAUCUUCGGACCUUGCGCGAUUGAAUGAGCCGAUGUCGGAUUAGCUAGUUGGCGGGGUAAAGGCCCACCAAGGCGACGACCCGUAGCUGGUCUGAGAGGAUGAUCAGCCACACUGGAACUGAGACACGGUCCAGACUCCUACGGGAGGCAGCAGUGGGGAAUAUUGGACCAUGGGCGCAAGCCUGAUCCAGCCAUACCGCGUGGGUGAAGAAGGCCUUCGGGUUGUAAAGCCCUUUUGUUGGGAAAGAAAAGCAGCAGGUUAAUACCCCGCUGUUCUGACGGUACCCAAAGAAUAAGCACCGGCUAACUUCGUG